CCGGGAGCUGAGUCUCAGAUUCAUCUUCCAGAAUGACAGGUGACGGAUUCCUAAAUCUAACCAGUUCUAACGAUGUUUGGUUUUCUUCCAGCAGAGUCUUAGGGAUAAGUGGCAUGUCAUCAAAAGCACUUAAGUCAUCAGAAAAAUGCAUAUAGAGGUUCUUCCAGACCAUCUUAAGCCAAGAAAUUGAUGGGUGAUUUUUGUCUUCCAAACCGGGAUACCACUGUACCACCAUGUCUCUGCCAGGCCACACACUAUUCAUAACUUCUUUAAUUAGCCGGGUAAAUCUUUCUGGGUUCAGAAGCUGCAGCUGCGUGCAUGGCCUUCCUCUGCUUUUGGCAGCUUCUUUCAAAGCAGCUAGAACCUCAGGCUUCAGGUCAUCAGAAAGUAACCUCCCUUCAAGGCCAGGAAAGAGUGAUCUGGGAAAAUCUUCUGAGGUUAU
rnacentral:lncRNA from 1 species